rnacentral:RNase_P_RNA from 1 species
AGUAAACUGGGCAGUUGCGUACGUUUUGUAUGAGGAAAGUCCGAGCAUCACACAGCAGGGUAACGGCUAACGGCCGCCGAGGGCGACCUCCGGGACAGUGCAUAGAGAUAUACCGCCGUUUUUACGGUAAGGGUGGAAAGGCGAGGUAAGAGCUCACCAGUGCGUCGGUAACGGCGCUGCUAAGUAAACCCUACCCGAUGCAACACCGACUGAAGUUGUCAGCUGGGCAGAUACUUCGAAGGGUGGCUUGAGCCUUACGGUAACGUAAGGACCAGAUAGAUAACUGCCUUAAAUGACAGAACUCGGCUUACAGGUUUACUCAC